rnacentral:lncRNA from 1 species
UUUGUAAGUGUUAUGCCCUAGAUCCAAUCGAUUUAGGUUGUAAACGCUUUUAAUAUAUUUAAUGCAUUUGAUUUUGGCGAGAUCUAUUAUUUAUUUAAAUUAAUUUUGUAAUAAAUAAUAUUAAAUAAUAGAAUCCGAAGACCCAAUUUUUAGGUAAUCUGUUAAUCACAAGGAGUUGUGAUUGUGAGAUACAAAUUACAUAUAAUUGGAUCUUGAAUAAACC